GUAUAUGGCUUUAUCACCCUGAAUGUGCCUGAGCUCGUCUGAUCUCAGAAGCUAAGCAGGGUCAGGCCUGGUUAGUACUUGGAUGGGAGACCAAAGUGCUGGAGGAGAAGAUCUCAGAAGCU
ensembl:rRNA 5S_rRNA 5S ribosomal RNA